rnacentral:rRNA from 1 species
AGCGAACGCUGGCGGCAGGCUUAACACAUGCAAGUCGAGCGGGCACUUUCGGGUGUCAGCGGCGGACGGGUGAGUAACGCGUGGGAACGUGCCCUCUGGUUCGGAAUAACUCAGGGAAACUUGAGCUAAUACCGGAUACGCCCUUUUGGGGAAAGGCUUGCUGCCGGAGGAUCGGCCCGCGUCUGAUUAGCUAGUUGGUGAGGUAACGGCUCACCAAGGCGACGAUCAGUAGCUGGUCUGAGAGGAUGAUCAGCCACACUGGGACUGAGACACGGCCCAGACUCCUACGGGAGGCAGCAGUGGGGAAUAUUGGACAAUGGGCGCAAGCCUGAUCCAGCCAUGCCGCGUGAGUGAUGAAGGCCUUAGGGUUGUAAAGCUCUUUUAUCCGGGACGAUAAUGACGGUACCGAAGGAAUAAGCCCCGGCUAACUUCGUG